ACCCUCCUAACAGCUAGCCCCCCUCCCAAAAACAACAAACCUUAUUAAUAAACCCUUAAUAACUAUAAAAAAACAACAAACCAUUUUUCCCCCCAAGUAUGGGUGACAGAAAAGGAUAUAUUGGCGCAACAGAAAAA
rnacentral:rRNA from 1 species